CGCGUAGGCGGAUGUUACAGUCAGGCGUGAAAUUCCUGGGCUCAACCUGGGGGCUGCGUUUGAUACGUGAUGUCUGGAGUUCGGAAGAGGGUCGUGGAAUUCCCAGUGUAGAGGUGAAAUUCGUAGAUAUUGGGAAGAACACCGGUGGCGAAGGCGGCGACCUGGUCCGAUACUGACGCUGAGGCGCGAAAGCGUGGGGAGCAAACAGGAUUAGAUACCCUGGUAGUCCACGCUGUAAACGAUGUGCGCUGGAUGUUGGGUGACAUAGUCACUCAGUGUCGUAGCUAACGCGAUAAGCGCACCGCCUGGGGAGUACGGCCGCAAGGUUGAA
rnacentral:rRNA from 1 species